CGAGUCGCAAACUCGCGAGAGUAAGCUAAUCUCUUAAGCCGUUCUCAGUUCGGACUGUAGGCUGCAACUCGCCUACACGAAGUCGGAAUCGCUAGUAAUCGCGGAUCAGCAUGCCGCGGUGAAUACGUUCCCGGGCCUUGUACACACCGCCCGUCACACCAUGGGAGUUUGUAACGCCCAAAGUCGGUGGCCUAACCUUUAUGGAGGGAGCCGCCUAAGGCGGGACAGAUGACUGGGGUGAAGUCGUAACAAGGUAAC
rnacentral:rRNA from 1 species